rnacentral:rRNA from 1 species
UACAGAGGUCUCAAGCGUUGUUCGGAUUCAUUGGGCGUAAAGGGUGCGUAGGUGGCAGGGUAAGUCGGAUGUGAAAUCCCGGGGCUCAACCUCGGAACUGCAUUCGAUACUGCUUUGCUGGAGUACUGGAGAGGAGAUUGGAAUUUACGGUGUAGCAGUGAAAUGCGUAGAUAUCAGGAGGAACACCGGUGGCGAAGGCGGGUCUCUGGGCCGAUACUGACACUGAGGAGCGAAAGCGUGGGGAGCGAACAGG